rnacentral:rRNA from 1 species
UACAGGGGGUGCAAACGUUGCUCGGAAUCACUGGGCGUAAAGGGUGCGUAGGCGGGUCUUUAAGUCAGGGGUGAAAUCCUGGAGCUCAACUCCAGAACUGCCUUUGAUACUGAGGAUCUUGAGUCCGGGAGAGGUGAGUGGAACUGCGAGUGUAGAGGUGAAAUUCGUAGAUAUUCGCAAGAACACCAGUGGCGAAGGCGGCUCACUGGCCCGGUACUGACGCUGAGGCACGAAAGCGUGGGGAGCAAACAGG